rnacentral:lncRNA from 1 species
GAAGACUGAUGCUGCCAGAUGACUUUGGAAGCCCCCUGGACCAUCACAGAUGCCCAGCUUUGGAUAACUCUUACAGUGGAGGAAGACAGGAAUAUCAGGUCUCUGAGCCCAAGCUAAGCCAUCAUAUCCCCUGUGACCUGCAUGUAUGCAUCCAGAUGGCCUGAAGUAACUGAAGAAUCACAAAAGAAGUGAAAAUGGCGCGUGCCUGCCUUAACUGAUGACAUUACCUUGUGAAAUUCCUUCUCCUGGCUCAUCCUGGCUCAAAAGCUCCCCCACUGAGCACCUUGUGACCCCCACUCCUGCCUAACAGAGAACAAUCCCCUUUGACUGUAAUUUCCCACUACCUACCCAAAUCCUAUAAAACGGCCCCACCCCUAUCUCCAUUCACUGACUCUUUUUGGACUCAGCCCACCUGCACCCAGGUGAAAUAAACAGCCUUGUUGCUCACACAGAACCUGUUUGGUGGUCUCUUCACACGGCGAGUGAAAUUUAGUAUUGUACCAAUGGUAAAUUGACAAAUGUACCACGUUUAUAUAAGAUUAACAGCAGAGGAGGCCGGGGGCGGUGGCUCAUGCCUGUAAUCCCAGCACUUUGGGAGGCCGAGAUGGGCGGAUCACGAGGUCAGGAGAUCAAGACCAUCCUGGCUAACACAGUGAAACCCUGUCUCUACUAAAAAUACGAAAAAAAAUUAGCUGGGCGUGGUGGUGGGCACCUGUAGUCCCAGCUACUCGGGAGGCUGAGGCAGGAGAAUGGUGUG